rnacentral:rRNA from 1 species
CCUACGGGAGGCAGCAGUAGGGAAUCUUUCACAAUGGGCGAAAGCCUGAUGGAGCAACGCCGCGUGCAGGAUGAAGGCCUUCGGGUUGUAAACUGCUUUUAUAAGCGAGAAAUAUGAUGGUAACUUAUGAAUAAGGAUCGGCUAACUACGUGCCAGCAGCCGCGGUCAUACGUAGGAUCCGAGCAUUAUCCGGAGUGACUGGGUGUAAAGAGUUGCGUAGGUGGCAUAAUAAGUAGCUAGUGAAAUCUGGUGGCUCAACCAUUCAGACUAUUAGCUAAACUGUUAAGCUCGAGACCGUUAGGGGUAACUGGAAUUUCUAGUGUAGGAGUGAAAUCCGUAGAUAUUAGAAGGAACACCAAUAGCGUAGGCAGGUUGCUGGGACGGUUCUGACACUAAGGCACGAAAGCGUGGGGAGCAAACAGGAUUAGAUACCCGGGUAGUC